rnacentral:rRNA from 1 species
AACGAACGCUGGCGGCAGGCUUAACACAUGCAAGUCGAGCGCCCCGCAAGGGGAGCGGCAGACGGGUGAGUAACGCGUGGGAAUCUACCCAUCUCUACGGAAUAACGCAUGGAAACGUGCGCUAAUACCGUAUACGUCCUUCGGGAGAAAGAUUUAUCGGAGAUGGAUGAGCCCGCGUUGGAUUAGCUAGUUGGUGGGGUAAAGGCCUACCAAGGCGACGAUCCAUAGCUGGUCUGAGAGGAUGAUCAGCCACACUGGGACUGAGACACGGCCCAGACUCCUACGGGAGGCAGCAGUGGGGAAUAUUGGACAAUGGGCGCAAGCCUGAUCCAGCCAUGCCGCGUGAGUGAUGAAGGCCCUAGGGUUGUAAAGCUCUUUCACUGGUGAAGAUAAUGACGGUAACCGGAGAAGAAGCCCCGGCUAACUUCGUGCCAGCCGCCGCGGUAAUAC